UACGGGGGGGGCAAGCGUUGUUCGGAAUUACUGGGCGUAAAGGGCUCGUAGGCGGCCAACUAAGUCGGACGUGAAAUCCCCAGGCUCAACCUGGGAACUGCGUCUGAUACUGGAUGGCUUGAAUUCGGGAGAGGGAUGCAGAAUUCCAGGUGUAGCGGUGAAAUGCGUAGAUAUCGUAAGGAAGACCAGUGGCGAAGGCGGGUCUCUGGACAGUUCCUGACGCUGAGGCACGAAGGUCAGGGGAGCAAACGGG
rnacentral:rRNA from 1 species